GGCGAAUAUCAUUAUUCGGCUUCAUGUGAGAAAGUCGUGAGUAUCGAUCAACGAAGGGGAAUUUUAAGACGAGAUAGACGGUGCUUUGUGUGUUUGCAACGAGGUCAUCGGGCAAGAGAAUGUAACAAGGUUAAUAACUGUAGGAAGUGUCGAGGAUCACACAUCAAUCGAUUUGUGCAACAGAUCACCCAAGGCAUGAAAACAAGGAGAAACCAGCAGACCAGAACGUGCAACAGCAAAGAGCGAGACAUCUUUGAACAAACCCGAACAAGUUAUAAGUACAACAGCCAACACAGGACACAGAGUCAGGGGUGCAACCCAAGUCUUACUACAGACAGCAAUUGUCUAUGCUCUUAACACAGAGAAUUCCAGAAGUGUGAAGGUUAUGGUUCUCUUUGACUGAGGCAGUCAGCAAAGUUAUGUCACCAGUAGUUUAAAAUCGAGAUUAGGUCAGUCUGCCAGAAAAAGAGAAACAGUACAUUUGAACACUUUUGGUGAAGAACAGUUUAAGAAACAAAGUUGUGAAAUGGUUGAGCUAGGCAUUCAAGGAUUGGACGGUGUUUUACUAUCGAGGUGAGAGCUCUAGCAUUUCCAGUUAUAUGUUCACCUGUUGCUACACCAGUGGAUAUAGCGGAGUUUCCACAACUGGAUGGACUUGAAUUUGUAGACGAGAUUAAUGGUGCGAGUGAAACAAUUGAUAUUUUAUUGGGAGCAGAUUAUUAUUACGAAGUUGUGACGGGAGAAAUCAUUAAGGGAGAGAUGGGUCCGACUGCUGUUCAGAGUAAAUUUGGUUGGUUGCUUACGGGCCCUGUCAAGCUAUGUGGUGCAGUACCCACCUACACAGUUGCUAACUUGGUCAUCGAUGGCCAUGGAACUACUCGUCCACCUGAGAAUGAGAAUCGCACGUUGACUUAUGCGCUUAAGAGAUUUUGGGAUUUGGAAUCCUUG